rnacentral:rRNA from 1 species
CACGUAGGGCGCGAGCGUUGUCCGGAAUUAUUGGGCGUAAAGAGCUCGUAGGCGGCCUGUUGCGUCCGCUGUGAAAGCCCGGGGCUUAACCCCGGGUCUGCAGUGGAUACGGGCAGGCUAGAGGUAGGUAGGGGAGAAUGGAAUUCCCGGUGUAGCGGUGAAAUGCGCAGAUAUCGGGAGGAACACCGGUGGCGAAGGCGGCUCUCUAGUACGGUACUGACGCUGAGACGCGAAAGCGUGGGGAGCGAACAGG